rnacentral:tRNA from 1 species
UCCCUAGUAGCUCAGAUGGUAAAUUAUCUGCCUGCAAUGCGGAAGACCCAGGUUCAAUCCCUGGGUUGGGAA